GACUCAUUAGCUCAGCUGGUAGAGCACCGCCCUUUUAAGGCGGGUUGCCGGGGUUCGAACCCCCGAUGAGUCA
rnacentral:tRNA from 2 species